GUGCCUUGCUCGAACCGAAUAGGAAAAUUUCACAAGGAAAAGUUGCGGGGUCUGGAGUUUGAGAUUUCAAGAAUGAAUUUGAGUGAAAAAAAAGAAAUAAACAAUCAAAGUGGAUUAUAAUUAUAAAAGAUUUUCGCCCAGUGAUGAUUAGUUUUAGUCUACUUGUUCCUCUACGCGAAGUGGAGGUAUUCAUCCACUUGUAUUUCCUCUGAUAUUCAUUAGUUCACACCGAGAUGGUCCCCAGAUCUUGUGCCCCAGUUUUUGUGCUCUGCCUCGUCCUUACUGCUACGCAGGCGACAGCGACCCAGUCAGAUUCGUUUCUUAGCGAUGAGUAUAUUAACCACAUCAAUUCGAUCCAAAGUUCUUGGAUGGCAGGUAGAAAUUUUGAGGACUCUCCGGAGGCCAUGAAAAUGAUCAAAUCACUCCUCGGUGAGCUGCCCAUGAAGGAUCACUCAUCUUUUAACCCGCCACUUAAAACUGCGGACCCGCUUGGCCGUCCGAUGCCGAGAUCCCGGCUACUUUCGACGCGCGGUCCAAAUGGAAGAACUGGUGCCCAAGGAUUGCUGAUAUCAGGGAUCAAAGUAACUGCGGAUCGUGUUGGGCUGUCGCCAGCAGUUCAGCGGUCACAGAUCGGUUCUGCAUCGGCUCUAAAGGCAAGUUCGAAGGUCUAA
rnacentral:lncRNA from 1 species